CCCAUCUUCAGCUCCGCGACCAGCUGGUCAAAGUUCUUGCUUCUUCCCAGCACCUUGCGUCGCUGAUGGAUGGAGUGGAUCUGAGCAAAAAGGUCUGCGACCGGUGCGUACAGCUCGUCUCCUGAGAACAGCAGACCAUGGUAAAACGGGUCGGCAGUGUAGUGGUUAGGAAACUGCACUGCCGUUGUACCCUGGAGCAAGGUUUCCUGUAACUGGACGGUGACCACGCUUCCUGUAGGAGAAUGGUGACCACACUUCCUGUUUUCACUCAACCCUGUUUCCCAGAAACGGAGGGAUACGCUCACCCAGGUUAUCUCCAGGUUCUGGGUCCGCGGAGUGGGGCCAGGAGGUUGGGGGAGCGCCCCGGCUCCCCCCGGC